UCCCCUUGCGUCUGACGUCCCUUGUCUAUAUAAACUCCACCGGCCAACAAUAGUUUGUACCUACCUGUUCCUUAUUGUUGAACUUUGCGGAUAUAAAAGCGACUCCUCGCUCUCCAAACACAAAACUACACUACUACUACUUGACGGAUAAGCAAGCAGUGGCAAUGGCACACCCAGAACACACGGCUCAUGUUGUUGAUUGUGCGUACAAGCUACGUUAUUUCGGCGACCGUCUUCAAUGGAGAUACAAACUUCUGGAAAUGCUGUUACAUUACAAGAACAUCACCAAAUACUAAUGAUCGCAAUAGCAUGGACUUGUAAGGGUCAGAUUGUGAUGCAGUAUGCGGUUAUGAUAAUCGCUCAUUCUAAAAGAAGAGGGAGAAGAUGUGUGUGUGUUCCUCCUCAACUGGACACACCCCGCCCCCCACCCAAGCUGAUGGAAUUUGGAUUUCAUCAGCUUGUUUAGAUCCCCCUCUCACGACAGGCUAUGGCUGGGAAGUGGAAGGCUCGAACGCCGCAGGUGUGGGAUAGUUCAGACCCAUGAGAAGUUCCAGCAUGUGGAAAGGAGAAGAACAACGAAAAGAAGAAGCCAAGAAUGUUUGACGUCACACAAAUAUAUCUUCAAAGCAGACGAUAUUUUGGAGAUUUACCAAGAAUAUGUAUUCUUGGAAAUUGUAGAAAAAUUGCUUUUCAUCUAGGGAAACUAAGAGCACGCUGAUUGGUUGUCUACUCUACGCUUUAAGUUGCUAAUAAAUGUUUAAUCAAAAGCUUUUGGUAUUUUCACUUCUGCAAAAUAUUUUACGUUUUGAAUCACUGUUCUAAAGUAAAAUAAAUGUAGACCCUCAUCA